GAUGAACGCUGGCGGCGUGCCUAAUACAUGCAAGUCGAGCGAACGGACGAGAAGCUUGCUUCUCUAAUGUUAGCGGCGGACGGGUGAGUAACACGUGGAUAACCUACCUAUAAGACUGGGAUAACUUCGGGAAACCGUAGCUAAUACCGGAUAAUAUUUUGAACCGCAUGGUUCAAAAGUGAAAGACGGUCUUGCUGUCACUUAUAGAUGGAUCCGCGCUGCAUUAGCUAGUUGGUAAGGUAACGGCCUACCAAGGCAACGAUGCAUAGCCGACCUGAGAGGGUGAUCGGCCACACUGGAACUGAGGCACGGUCCAGACUCCUACGGGAGGCAGCAGUAGGGAAUCUUCCGCAAUGGGCGAAAGCCUGACGGAGCAACGCCGCGUGAGUGAUGAAGGUCUUCGGAUCGUAAAACUCUGUUAUUAGGGAAGAACAUAUGUGUAAGUAACUGUGCACAUCUUGACGGUACCUAAUCAGAAAGCCACGGCUAACUACGUG
rnacentral:rRNA from 1 species